GUUGUAUAGUCAAGUAAUGAAGUGCACAUGGUGGAUGCCUUGGCAGUCAGAGGCGAUGAAAGACGUGACAGCCUGCGAAAAGCGUCGGGGAGGCGGCAAUAUCCUGUGAUCCGGCGAUAUCUGAAUGGGGAAACCCACCUACCAUAA
rnacentral:rRNA from 1 species